UGCCCUAGGAACACCUGUACCUCGCAGCUGAUUUGGCCUUUAUUUGGUUCUCACAGGGUCUGUCCCAGGUUUGCAGGGAUGGAUGCCAGCACUGCUCCUGUCCUCUCCACCCCUACGUGUUGAAAGGAGGACUCUGUGGCUCCAGUUGGCUGCUGGAUCGAGGACUGCAUUAGCAUUGACCUCAGGAGAGCCCACGCAACAAAUAAUGGCUUUAAAUAAUGGCUUUCUUCCCCGGGAGCAGACUUCAGAGAGGAGUUUCCUGCUGCUGUGUUCCUGCCCACCCUCUGAUGCUGCAGGGGCCCCCUGAUGCCAGGACGUCACUCUGGAAGGGUUCCUAUUGUGGAAACUUUUCUCACCAGCUGCUUUGUGAUGUGCCG